rnacentral:rRNA from 1 species
AUGAACGCUGGCGGCGUGCCUCAUCCAUGCAAGUCGAGCGAACAGACGAGGAGCUUGCUCCUCUGACGUUAGCGGCGGACGGGUGAGUAACACGUGGAUAACCUACCUAUAAGACUGGGAUAACUUCGGGAAACCGGAGCUAAUACCGGAUAAUAUAUUGCACCGCAUGGUUCAAUAGUGAAAGACGGUUUUGCUGUCACUUAUAGAUGGAUCCGCGCCGCAUUAGCUAGUUGGUAAGGUAACGGCUUACCAAGGCGACGAUGCGUAGCCGACCUGAGAGGGGGACGGGCCCCGGGGGAGAGAGGCAACGGCCCAGGCCCGUAGGGGGGGCAGGAGUGGGGAAUCUGCCGGAAGGGGGGAAAGCUUGACGGGGCAAGGGCGGGGGAGUGAGGAAGGGCUGCGGAUGGGAAACCUCUGUUAUGGGGGAAGAAAAAUUGUGUAAGUAACGAUGCCGGUUUGAAGGGAACCGAAGAAGAAGGCCAGGGUAAAUUCGUG